rnacentral:rRNA from 1 species
UACGUAGGGUGCUAGCGUUGUUCGGAAUCAUUGGGCGUAAAGCGCGUGUAGGCGGUUAGUUAAGUCAGAUGUGAAAUCCCUGGGCUCAACCGAGGAAGUGCAUUUGAAACUAAUUAGCUAGAGAGUGGUAGAGGGCGGUGGAAUUCCGUGUGUAGAGGUGAAAUUCGUAGAUAUACGGAGGAAUACCGGUGGCGAAGGCGGCCGCCUGGACCAUUUCUGACGCUGAGACGCGAAAGCGUGGGGAGCAAACAGG